GUGUCAGCAGCCGCGGUAAUACGGAGGGGGCUAGCGUUGUUCGGAAUUACUGGGCGUAAAGGGCACGUAGGCUGGCUGUUAAGUCGGUGGUGAAAUCCCGAGGCUCAACCUCGGAAUUGCCUUCGAUACUGACGGUCUUGAGUGCGGGAGAGGUGAGUGGAAUUCCCAGUGUAGAGGUGAAAUUCGUAGAUAUUGGGAAGAACACCAGUGGCGAAGGCGGCUCACUGGCCCGCAACUGACGCUGAGGUGCGAAAGCGUGGGGAGCAAACAGGAUUAGAAACCCCCGUAGUCC
rnacentral:rRNA from 1 species